rnacentral:rRNA from 1 species
GGGUUGUGAGGUUAAGCGACUAAGCGUACACGGUGGAUGCCCUGGCAGUCAGAGGCGAUGAAGGACGUGCUAAUCUGCGAAAAGCGUCGGUAAGGUGAUAUGAACCGUUAUAGCCGGCGAUGUCCGAAUGGGGAAACCCAGUGCAAUUCGUUGCACUAUCGUUAACUGAAUCCAUAGGUUAACGAGGCGAACCGGGGGAACUGAAACAUCUAAGUACCCCGAGGAAAAGA